GAUGAACGCUGGCGGCGUGCUUAACACAUGCAAGUCGAACGGAAAGGCCCAAGCUUGCUUGGGUACUCGAGUGGCGAACGGGUGAGUAACACGUGGGUGAUCUGCCCUGCACUUCGGGAUAAGCCUGGGAAACUGGGUCUAAUACCGGAUAGGACCACUUCUUGGAUGUUGUGGUGGAAAGUUUUUUCGGUGUGGGAUGAGCUCGCGGCCUAUCAGCUUGUUGGUGGGGUAAUGGCCUACCAAGGCGUCGACGGGUAGCCGGCCUGAGGGGGUGUACGGCCACAUUGGGACUUGGAUACGGCCCAGACUCCUACGGGAGGCAGCAGUGGGGAAUAUUGCACAAUGGGCGCAAGCCUGAUGCAGCGACGCCGCGUGGGGGAUGACGGCCUUCGGGUUGUAAACUCCUUUCGCUAGGGACGAAGCGUUUUGUGACGGUACCUGGAGAAGAAGCACCGGCUAACUACGUG
rnacentral:rRNA from 1 species